rnacentral:rRNA from 1 species
UGGGGAAUUUUGGACAAUGGGCGAAAGCCUGAUGCAGCGACGCCGCGUGAGGGAUGACGGCCUUCGGGUUGUAAACCUCUUUCAGCAGGGAAGAAGCGAAAGUGACGGUACCUGCAGAAGAAGCGCCGGCUAACUACGUGCCAGCAGCCGCGGUAAUACGUAGGGCGCAAGCGUUGUCCGGAAUUAUUGGGCGUAAAGAGCUCGUAGGCGGUUAGUCGCGUCUGCUGUGAAAACUCGAGGCUCAACCUCGGGCUUGCAGUGGGUACGGGCUGACUAGAGUGCGGUAGGGGUGACUGGAAUUCCUGGUGUAGCGGUGGAAUGCGCAGAUAUCAGGAGGAACACCGAUGGCGAAGGCAGGUCACUGGGCCGCAACUGACGCUGAGGAGCGAAAGCAUGGGGAGCGAACAGGAUUAGAUACCCUGGUAGUCCAUGCCGUAAACGUUGGGCACUAGGUGUGGGUCCAUUCCACGGAUUCCGUGCCGCAGCAAACGCAUUAAGUGCCCCGCCUGGGGAUGUACGGCCGCAAGGCUAAAACUCAAAGGAAUUG